rnacentral:tRNA from 1 species
GACGGAUUCGUCUAGUGGCCCAGGACGCUUGGUUCUCAGCCAGGAAACACGGGUUCGAGUCCCGUAUCCGUCG